GAUGAACGCUGGCGGCGUGCUUAACACAUGCAAGUCGAACGGUAAGGCACCUUCGGGUGUACACGAGUGGCGAACGGGUGAGUAACACGUGGGGAACCUGCCCUUCUCUCUGGGAUAACUCCGGGAAACCGGUGCUAAUACCGGAUACUUCGGUCGGAUCGCAUGGUCUGACCGAGAAAGCUCCGGCGGAGAAGGAUGGCCCCGCGCCUGAUUAGCUUGUUGGUGGGGUAACGGCUCACCAAGGCAACGAUCAGUAGCCGAGCUGAGAGGCUGAUCGGCCACACUGGGACUGAGACACGGCCCAGACUCCUACGGGAGGCUG
rnacentral:rRNA from 1 species